AUUGAACGCUGGCGGCAUGCCUUACACAUGCGAGUCGAACGGUAACGGGCCUUCGGGUGCCGACGAGUGGCGAACGGGUGAGUAAUACAUCGGAACGUGCCCGAUCGUGGGGGAUAACGAGGCGAAAGCUUUGCUAAUACCGCAUACGAUCUACGGAUGAAAGCAGGGGACCGCAAGGCCUUGCGCGGACGGGGCGGCCGAUGGCAGAUUAGGUAGUUGGUGGGAUAAAAGCUUACCAAGCCGACGAUCUGUAGCUGGUCUGAGAGGAUGGUCAGCCACACUGGGACUGAGACACGGCCCAGACUCCUACGGGAGGCAGCAGUGGGGAAUUUUGGACAAUGGGCGCAAGCCUGAUCCAGCCAUGCCGCGUGCAGGAUGAAGGCCUUCGGGUUGUAAACUGCUUUUGUACGGAACGAAAAGCCUUCUUUUAAUACAGGAGGGUCAUGACGGUACCGUAAGAAUAAGCACCGGCUAACUACGUG
rnacentral:rRNA from 1 species